rnacentral:rRNA from 1 species
UACGUAGGGUGCGAGCGUUGUCCGGAAUUAUUGGGCGUAAAGAGCUUGUAGGCGGUCUGUCGCGUCUGCUGUGAAAAUCCGGGGCUCAACCCCGAACUUGCAGUGGGUACGGGCAGACUAGAGUGUGGUAGGGGAGACUGGAAUUCCUGGUGUAGCGGUGAAAUGCGCAGAUAUCAGGAGGAACACCGGUGGCGAAGGCGCCACUCUGGGCCGAAACUGACGCUGAGGAGCGAAAGCGUGGGUAGCAAACAGG